CCUACGGGGGGCUGCAGUGGGGAAUAUUGGACAAUGGGGGCAACCCUGAUCCAGCCAUGCCGCGUGUGUGAAGAAGGCCCUCGGGUUGUAAAGCACUUUCAGUGAGGAAGAACGCCUGGUGGUUAAUACCCAUCAGGAAAGACAUCACUCACAGAAGAAGCACCGGCUAACUCCGUGCCAGCAGCCGCGGUAAUACGGAGGGUGCGAGCGUUAAUCGGAAUUACUGGGCGUAAAGCGCGCGUAGGUGGCUUGAUAAGCCGGUUGUGAAAGCCCCGGGCUCAACCUGGGAACGGCAUCCGGAACUGUCAAGCUAGAGUGCAGGAGAGGAAGGUAGAAUUCCCGGUGUAGCGGUGAAAUGCGUAGAGAUCGGGAGGAAUACCAGUGGCGAAGGCGGCCUUCUGGACUGACACUGACUCUGAGGUGCGAAAGCGUGGGUAGCAAACAGGAUUAGAUACCCUAGUAGUC
rnacentral:rRNA from 1 species